rnacentral:rRNA from 1 species
UACAGAGGUGGCAAACGUUGUCCGGAUUUAUUGGGUGUAAAGGGCAUGUAGGUGGUUUUGUAAGUCAAAGGUGAAAUGGCCCGGCUUAACCAGGUCAUUGCCUUUGAAACUGCAGAGCUUGAGUACGGAAGAGGAAAGCGGAAUUCCCAGUGUAGCGGUGAAAUGCGUAGAUAUUGGGAGGAACACCGGUGGCGAAGGCGGCUUUCUGGUCCGAUACUGACACUGAGAUGCGAAAGCCAGGGGAGCAAACGG